rnacentral:lncRNA from 1 species
UCAGCUCCAAUUACUGGUUACAGGAACUGCCUUAGCUCAGAGGCGCAAACAGGAUGUUCGUCUGGAACUGCCCUGUCUAGGAACUAUUUUAAAUUUUAACAUGUCAAAAAAAAUGUCUAAAAUACAGAGAAUUCCCAAAGCUAUGACAAUCAAGGCAGAAAUAAAGUAAAUGUAAGGGCUGAGCAUAUUACUCAUACAGUCCUGGUCUGGUGUCCUGGGUUAGCUGUCAACCUUAGAUGUUGUCUUCUUGGCCUGGAGAUGGGGUUUUAGUAAUCUGAAUUUGGUAUUAAACACUGGCAUUUAUGUCCAAGAUUCUCCAGGAGUUGGUGCCAUUUUUAGGUGAGAUAUAUGUAUCCAAGAGUCAAUACACUGUAACUUGGCAGCACAGAGAUUGAUUAACAGUACCUGAAAAGAGUGCUUCUUCCAACAAGGCUGAAGGUAAUCUUUCAAUUGAUGUCUCUACCAACGUACAUAAUCACUAGGCUGGAGGCUGCGAUGCCAGAGGUCACUAUCUGAUUUGGGCCUGUAAAAGGAUUCCACAACCUUGUGGCGGUUAGUCUUUAAAGCUUUGACAAGGCAUUGGUAGUAGGUUAGGAAGUCUCCCUGUAACCGAGCAGGGAAAACGUUUCUUCAACCAGGUGCAUGAGCAGACCGGCAACGAUCUCAAAAGGGGAGAGACAGUGUUUCCUACUAGGUGUGGAUUGUAAAACUAGCAAUGCCAAUGGGAGGGCCUUAUGCCAGGGCAGGUUAAAAGUACUUGGGAUCUUCACAAAUUGGGUUUUUAUAACCCCAUUUAUCUAUUUAACCAGCCCAAAAGACUGGAGUGGUAUGCAUAAUGAAAAUGCUGCAGAAUGGGCUAAAUGUUCCAAAUUUUUGCUAAUACUUGGCCAGUUAAAUGAGUUCCUUGGUUACUAUAUAGCUCAGUUGGAAUUCCCCAAGAGGAAUGAUCUUUUCAAGGAGUACUUUGGCUACUGACAUGGCCGUAGUCUGUCUGCAGGAGAAAGCUUCAACGCAAUGGAAAUACAUGUCAACCAUUAUAAGGACAUUUUUGUAUCCAUGAGAUGGGGGUAAUUGGAUGAAGUCAAGCUGCCAUUCUGCAAAAAGGCCAUUGGGAAGUGAUACUUGGCCUGAAGGACAUUUUAGGGGUUCACCUGGAGUAUAUUGGGGACAGAGGCUACAAAGUUUGUAUACCUAAAAAGCAACUGUUGGGGAAAUUUCUCCGAAGUAUUGUCUGACCCAUUUAUUCACUGUAUCCAGAUUGUAGUGAAUUAGGUUAUGUAUAAAGGUCUGUUUGUGUCUGUAGACUGCUAGGGAGGAUUGGAUGUCUAUUUGUCCCUUCUCAUAAUCUUGUUUGGGAGUUAAAUGUGCAACUUUGUUUCAUCCAUUUCCCCCUUUCAAGAUAUGAAACUGCUUUCUGAGAUGUGAAAAGUCUAGAAAAAUGGUAAUCAAAUGGGCAAGCAUGGGGGCUGAGGAUUGAAUGAGCAUGAUCAAGGGAGUUACUUGUAGGGCUGUAGCUUCAGCAGCUGCAUCAGCAAGAUGAUUGCCCUUACUGUCUUCAGAGUUUUCAGGGGAGUAUCCUUGGAUCUUGAUAAUAGCAAGAGAUAAUAGAGCCUGAAUAGCUUUUAGAAGUGUCAAAACAAAAAUCUUUAUUUUUAAUAGGUUGUCUGGAGGAGGUCAAAAAACCUCAUUGUUUCCAGGGCAUACGAAAUUAUGUGCAACACCAAAGACGAAUCUACCAUCUGUAUAAAAUGUUAGUUGUUUUGCCUCCAGCCAGCAAACAGGCUCAUGUGAAGGCAUGCAAUUCUGCUUGUUAAGCUGACCAGACCGUGGGAAGGGGGUCCUAUUCAAUAGUCUCUGCUGGGGAAACUAUGGCGUAUCUUGCGAGAGACAUUAUGACAUUUAUUGAGGGUCAGUUGGCAGAAAAAAAAUGAAGAGUGUCAGCAGGGUCUGCUCAAAGAAUCUGGAAAAAAUAGAUAGGGCUCUCAGUAUAUCCCUGAGGAAGCACUGUCCAUGUAUACUGUUGGCCUCUCCACAUGAAGGUGAAAAGAAACUUUCAGGGAAAAGGCCUGGAUAUUAUCACGAAACCAACUCAAAAUCACGAUGUUUUCCAGAGCUUAUAUACCUUCUAAGCUAUAUGUCUACAUGUAAGUGUGCAUUCAUCUAAAGACAUAAGUGAUUAACUUCUUUUAAUCUAUAAAUAAGGUCUGAAUCUUGAAGAUCUUCCUCUGGAGCCUCAGUAAAUUUACUUAAUCUAAAUGGGUCCGGCAAGGUGCGGUGGCUCACGCCUGUAAUCCCAGCACUUUGGGAGGCCAAGGUGGGUGGAUCAUGAGGUCAGGAGUUCGAGACCAUCCUGGCUAACAUGGUGAAA